rnacentral:tRNA from 1 species
GGGGUAUUGGCGCAAUGGUAGCGCGUGGCUCUCCUAUUUUAUUUAGUUUUCCUCUAACUUACGGGAGGAAUCAAAGCCAAGGUUUUGGGUUCGAGUCCCAAGUAUCUCG